CAAGGGGAUGACGUAACAUCAACUACAAAGUCUAAAAGUUCUAAGACCUCGACGCUGCCCCACCAUCACAAACUAAGCAAUCAAUUUUCAUUGGUUAGUUUGUUUUCAUCUUGUCUCAUAACUCUAAAGAAACUACGUGAUUUUGCAGGUCAUGCUGACGCUCAAAGGAUAUGGUAGCACUUAUCCAGCACGAAGCCUAAAAAAUUAAGCAACCACAUUGCAUCACAGUCAUGCGAUAUUACUCCAAUGCCCAAAGGUAACAAGAGCAGGGUUGUCCGCCCCAAACAUUAGGACAGGGCAAGUCUACCCCGAACAAUAGGACAGGGUAGUCCGCCCAGAACAACAGGACAGGGAAAGUCCGCCCUGAACAACAGGACGGGGAAGUCCGCCCCGAACAAUAGGAUAGGGCAAGUCCACCCCGAACAACAGGACAGGGCAGUCCACCCCGAACAACAGGACAGGGCAAGUGCGUCGUGAACAAUAGGACUUGGAAAGUCCGCCCCAAACAACAAAACAGGCUACGUCGUUAGACUCCGCCAAUGGGAGAUUUACCAUCUAACUGCGUCAACUAACUUCGCUAAUCGAGGAUACUGUCUAACAACGUCAAUUACCCAGCCAAUCGGGGACCGCCGUCUAACUUUGCCAACGACUCCGCCAAUCGAAGAUUUUUAAUUUACAUUACAGUUACUCCGCCAGUCGGAAGCCCUUACAUUACAGUUGCUCUGCCAGCCGGAAGCAUUUUCAUUAUAGUUGCUCCACCAGCCGGAAGCAUUUUCAUUACAGUUGCUCCGCCAGCCGGAAGCUUUACAUUAGAGUUGCUCCGCUAGCCGGAAGCUUUACAUUACAGUUGCUCCGCCAACCGGAAGCCUCUACAUUACAGUUGCUCCGCCAGCCGGAAGCUUUACAUUUCAGUCGCUCCGUAAAUCGGUGCUUUCAAUUCUGGUUUGUCUACAAUCCCUUCCUUUAUUUCCUUAUGUUAUUAUUACAUUAUAACUUUGUACUGCACAUGUAUCUUUACAUCUUUUGCAGAUGAACACAAUACAACGUGGAACUAUCUCUGCCACAGCGAACUGAGGCGCCCCGGUUGAUGAGGAUAUCAAACUCACAAGCUAGGCUCAAUGAAUCUGCUCUUCGAUUUAGCUCGCCAAUCAGUUUUUCUUCCAAUUUUUAAGAAGCAGUUACUUCCUCUGAGAAUCUACAUUCUGGGGACUCAGUCAAAUUCUUCCACAUCCUGAGGUCGUCAUAAUGCGAUACAGGGACCAUUCUGAGGGUCAAUCCUUUACGACGGGCUGAUAUGAUCCUAUGACGCACGAAGAUGCAUUCGUGUAAAGUCUUGCUUAUGAGUGUGUUGCGGCCGCCACAUUUAUAGUCAGGAGGCAGCAAAAGUACAUCCUGUCUUCAGAAAGAUCUUUUUCAUCUGCAAUCUUCUCCCUCCAAACUUGACCACACCUUCCUAACAACAUCUAGUGUCACCAUCAUUUGACACUGGGAUAAAUUUUGAGGAUCCCUCAAAAUUUUCUAUCUUCUCAUUUUCUUAAAACCCAGUUGAAUUCAUUCCCUUCCUCUUCAAUACGUAGGGGACUCAGAGUCAAGCCAAUCGUAUUCCGUUCUAGCUAUUUUCGCCCAUGUUGAAACCACUACCCUUUCUAUCUCCGAAACCUCAUGUUACCAUAACUACAACACUGGGAGAAAUUUUUGAGGAUCACUCAAAAAAUUUCAACAACUCAACCUUCUAAAUCUCCAACAAAACUAUUAUCCCCUGUCCAUAACAAGAGAGCUAGUGUCCUCGUAAUUCAGACACUGUGGCAAAAUUUUGAGGACCUCUCAAAAUUUUAUCGUCUCCUUGUUCGAACUACAUCGACCUGAUUCUCUUAUGACCUGAGAUAUGUAGGUGUCACACCCCGAUCUUACUAGGGUGUGAUGGGCACCCGACCCCAUACCCGGAGCCGAGCGAACCCGCUGACUCUUAUUACUCACAUAGUCUCUUUGAACUCUUAAAUCAAAUAUAAUGAAAUACAUAGUAAAACUUUCAAAAUCUUUCUUUUCAUCGUACUCAAUUCAAAUAUAAUCUAUGAUCGUAUGGACUUUAUAACAUAACAUAAAAUGACACAUAGGCUGGUGGAGCCGUUUACAAUACCGACACUCUAUACCCACGACUCUGUCUGCAAAGUCUCUAACAUUAAUCAGACAUCAUAGCACACAUACUCUGACUCGGCAGCACUCCAGGAACAAGUGGAGCUUUCCAACUCCGCUGGAACGUCUUCUAUAAUAGCUUCAGCUCAUCUGGGUGUACCUGCGCGGCAUGAAAUGCAGCCCCUCGAAGAAAGGGGGUCAUUACGAGCAAGGUACAGAGUAUGUAAGGCAUGAAUAGUAACAUAGUAAGAGAUGUAAUUAUGAACAACAACAGAAUAGAGAUAUAGAGCAUAUCAUGAGAUAAAAGGGUAACCUGUACAUCUGAGUGCCUCUUAGGGCGGAUGCCAUGCAUGCUUAGCUUUCCUUUGAAAACAUUUCUUUUUCAUAUACAUAGAAAAUAGAACAUGUCAUAUUGCCGAGGCGUCGGCUCCGAUCCAUUUAGCCACAUAUAUCCCGCGUCCGGGACGAUAUUAACCGAUGUGGGAUUUGCCUGAACCAAUGCUCACUCAUUUAAGUACUAGUCCAAGACCAUUCAAACAAGACUUAAAAACAUUUCAUACAAUCCGCACAAUGUUCAAAUUAGCCCAACUACUAUACCAUUCCACCCGAAAUCUCACCACACCAUCAAAGACAACAACACAUUACUUUCUUCCAAAUUUAUGAACUUCACUUACAUUCUUCACAUUAACAACAUCAUUCUUACAAGCAUAAGAAAUCAUAUUAAUGUCAUACUAACUCUUUCAACAAUUCUACAAUGAUCACAACUUCAUUCUCAUAAUUACAAGAAACUAUAUCAAAAUCACAUUAGCUUCUUCAAUAAUCCACAAGCAAUUACCACUUCAUUUCAAACCAUUAAACCUUCAUUUUACAUCAUAGAAUCUACCGCAACAAUAGUUAAAAUACUAAGUAAAAAUCAAUUCACCACAUCUCACCAAUCCAACCCCUAUUCGGCCACAUCCCUAUACACACCUAUUUCAUGAAUUUCAUCCAUUUCUACAUUCUACAACAUUCACAACCAUCUCCAACACAUAGAAAAGGGGAUUAAAUCUUACCUUCAUCCUUUAGCUUCUCCACUCGGCUAGGGCCUGUGAAUUACACAAAUAAAGACUUUGCUUGCUCCAAAAACUCCUUCAUGUUGAUGAGGGCCUUCCAUUUGGUUGAAAUACUAGGAGAAAAUAAUUUUUCUUGAUCAUUUUCCAUGGCUCAAUUUUUGCCAACCUUGGCCGAACCUAGCUCCCCUUGUCUUCUCUUUCUUUCUUCAAAUUUCUAGAAUUAUAAAAGAUGACUAUGUGUCUUGCUUGGUCAUCUCUCUACAUAUAUAUAAAUAGUUCCUUCCAAUACCAUGUGAACACAUGGCCUUUUUCUUGAAGUUUCUUAAAAAUUAAAAUAAAAGAUGACUAAUUAUUGUAUUUUGUCAUCUCUUUUCCACAAUUAUAUGUAUAUGUAUACAUACAUGUCACACGGCCAAGUGGCCUUCUUCAAGAAUUUUUCUUGAGCAUUUUGUGAAAUUCCCAUUUUGCCCCUAGCUUUCCGCAAUAUUACUAUGAGCCAUUUUGUGAAUUUCCCUUUUUACCCUUGACCUUUCUCAAUAUUUCCAUACUAAUAAACAACUUAUAUAUUAAAAUUUUUUUGGAACAUGGUCAUUCCCUUAACUUACCACGACUACCUUGAAAUAUCCAAACGUACAAAAUACGGGAUAUAACAGUAGGCUACUCAGGAACGAGAGUUCGGCUGAAUUCAUAAACACACCUCUCCAUUCCCCCAAAGGAUUACCCCCUUUGUAGUUGUACUCUUUCCAAACCCAAUCGGAUUUACUCGUCCGGACAAAAUCGGGUUUAUGUCAAUGUCUUCGCCCAAAGACUCUUUCAUCAUCCCUGGUCAAAGAGGGACCCCUCCUUUUUGUUUAAUUAAUUUCACUAUGCUUCUCAAGCGAGAAAAUUCCCCAAAAAUGAGUUUGGAAUAAUUUCACUAAUUACUACACUAUUUUUAAGAUAUUAUUUCUCUAAAGUUAAGAAAGGUUUCUAUCAUUUCUUAAAAAUCACCAAACAUUAUCAUUAUUUUUUAUAAUUAAAAAAAAUUACUAAACAUCAUUCUUUACAAUUAAAUCACUCAAAAAUACUGUUGGUAUUCCUAUAUCAAUAUUGACAUUGACAUUUUUCCUUUAAUCAUAUUUAUUACUAUGUUUAUGAUCUUCUUACUAUAUUUUUAAAACCAAAUACGUAUAUUAAAUUACUUCUAUUGUAAUUUAUAUAGGUAUACAUUUUGUGGGAAUUAAUUAGAACAAAAGAACAUAUUUUAAUUAAUUGAUUGAAGUAAGAAGGGAUGAGAAAAUAAUUCAUCUACCUAAAAUUUGAGCCAAAUCCGAUUCCUAUCCUACAAAAAUCUGUGGCCCAAAAACGCCCCAGCCCAAAAUCCCAACCCAGUCCAACACCUAAACUAAAACCCCUUAACUCUUUCACUCUAAUCAGUAACCAAACAGCCCUAACCAAAUGACCCCUCUUCUCUCUAACAAAAACCUAACUAGCCAUCACCUCCACCCCUCUCCCAUUCACGUCACCUCACCGCCCCAACGCCAAGCGGACCGCCAGACAAACACAGGCGCCGCCUCAAUUGCCACCACGUCCCCUUUUCCCUUUGAUUGACAUUGUGGAAGAACUGAAAGAGCUAGCAAAUGGUUCAUUUAAAUCUCUGUAUAAGAGGAGCGCAAUGAACCACCGGUUUCAAGCUCAACUCUUCUUCAAUCCGGUGGGUAAAGGCUCGUUCCAAUCCCUUAGAGCCUUAAACCAUGAAGAAACCACUAGCUUUGGACCUCUAGCCUUCAAAUCACUCUGAAAAGUCUCUUUUCAAGUUCUCUGCUAAAACAACAAGCUUUUUGAGCGGAUUCAGAGACUCGACGACGACAAUAGCCUCAGUUCUUUGUCCCGGAGAAGUUGUAUACAAGUAAAAUCGAGGACACAGGCACGCUCGGUUUCCCGAUGUCAUGGUUAUGCUCGGUCACAAUUCGAUCGUCUCACCGGGAACGAGGCUUAGAGCUCGGGCCAGGAUGAGGCGAUAAAGGAAGGGCGAUUGACUCCCAUUAGCGGGAGAUCGAAAUAUCCGCCCUCACCUGAAUAUUUCGGCGUCGAUCUCGGCAAUACAACUGUCACCAGAUUUACUUGCUUUAUUUAGAAUUGUACUAGGGUUGAAACUCCUUUACUAUAUAAAGAGGAGGUUAUCAUUCAUGAAGGGGGUUGACAACAGCAAGGAGAGAAAUAGUUUACAUCAACAAUCAUAAGAAUCUUAUUAAAUCAGUUCCCGUCUGUUCUUAAGUUCAUUUUUUAUUAUACCUCCUGAGAGCUUGUAAAAAAAAAGGGUAUCGACCUCGGUUUCUAUACCCGAGGCCAUACGUAUUUAACAUUCGGUUAGAUCUGCUUCUCUGUUCAUUUUAUUGACAUAUCUCUCUAUUUAAUCUUGAAUUGAAUUUAGCCACAUAUCUUUGACAUCACGUACACAUUUAAUUAUUCUCCGUUUUAAGGUUAAACAGUUUGGCGCCCACCGUGGGGCAUUAGAUAGUAGUGGCGGUUCAAUACAACUUUCUGGUCACACUCGAUAUUUUACACUUGUUCUUUAGGGUUUGAUUUCAGGUAUACCGAAAAAGUCGGAUUCCCAUUCUGUCAACUUCCAAGUGGAACCAAGCCAUUAUGAGCAUGACGACGGGGACGUACCAAACAAUAACGCGCCUCCCGUUAAUCCUGUUCUAGUUGGAUCAUCGGUGGGCAACGUACCGGCCGAUGAGGAUAACGGGGUCAUGCCGCAACAGCUCCAAAACCAAUUAGACAUGGUCAUGGCUCAGUUACAGGCCCAGCAAGAGAUCAUAGCACAAUUGCAAAAUCGGGGUCAGGCACCCGAUGUUGCCCCAUCAGAACAGACCCAGGAUACGGAGGAAAUACAUGCCUCACGGGGUAACGAGAACCAUUUCAGACAAAGUACUGAAUUGAUAAGAAUUCUCGAAGAAUUGACCAAACGGGUCGAAUCCGGUGAAAAGAAGAUAGAGACAAACGAUAAGAAGGUGGAGAACUAUAAUUCGAGGGUCGAUCAGAUCGCGGGGGAUCCGCCAGUGUUGAAGGGAUCGGAUUAGAAAAAGUUUGUUCAAAUGUCGUUUCCGCCAAGUGCGGCACCGAUGAAAAUCCUCAAGAGAUUUCACAUGCCCGAUAUCCCGAAAUACAAUAGGACAAUGGACCCAAAUGAGCAUGUGACUGCGUCUACGUGCGCUAUUAAGGGCAACGACCUCGCCGAUGUCGAAAGGGAAUCAGUGCUACUUAAAAAAUUCGAGGAAACUUUGUCAAAGGGGGCUAUGAUUUGGUAUCAUAACUUGCCCGAGCACUCGAUUGAUUCAUUUUCCAUGCUCGCUAAUGCUUUCGUUAAGGCCCAUGCCGGGGCCAUCAAGGUCGAAACUCGAAAAUCGGACUUGUUCAACGUUAAGCAACAAGAUGACGAGACCCUCCGCGAUUUUGUGGCUCGAUUUCAAAUGGAGCGCAUGGACUUACCUCCAGUUACUGACGAUUGGGUCGUUCAGGCUUUCACCCAAGGGCUAAACUCGAGGAGCUCAAUCACAUAUAUGGAACUAAAACAAAACUUGAUAGAAUACCCGGCAAUCGCCUGGGCUGAUGUGCACAACAGGUAUCAGUCGAAGAUCAGGGUCGAAGACGAUAAGAUUCUGAGGGCCGCUUCAGUAUCAUGGCAUUCCAGUAAAGGAGGUGAUCGAUCAAGAAGAGUGAUAGAUCGAUAUUCCAGAUCUUCAUAUGACAUAUACCAGCCUUACCCGUUCGAUCGAAGGGGGAACGGGCGUAACAGCGAAUCGGGCAAGAAUGAUAGGAGAAACGAUAUAAGGAAUGAUCGAGGCCAAAAUAACCGUGGUUUGGUAAACAAAAAUGUUGUCGAUAGAGCACCGGGAAACAGAGAAACUCCAAGGUUAUCUGAGUACAACUUUUGUGUCGAUGUAGCAACCUUAGCGGCAGCCGUUAUCCGAAACAAAGAAACAAGGCAUCUGAGGCCAAUCCAAUCCGACCCGGAGAAGCUGGAUAAAAGUAUUAUUUGUAAGUAUCAUCAUACUCAUGGCCAUCGAACCGAGGAUUGUCGACCGCUGAGGGAGGAGGUCGCCCGUCUGUUCAAUUUGGGGGCAUCUUCGAGAAUUCCUAAGUGAACGAGCGAAAACCCUUUUUAAAAACCUGGAUUCCAACAAGCUGGAUAGGUCGGAAGAGCCCCAGCAGGUGAUACACAUGAUCAUGGGAGGAACUGAUAUUCCCAUUGGAUCGGUUAUGAAGCGCACAAAAAUUUUGCAUAACGAGGGAAAAGCGUAUCCGAAACGGUGACCCCGAUGGCCUCAUCACAUUCGAUGAUGAGGACAUGGAAGGCAUCACCCAACUGCAUAAUGACGCACUGGUAAUAUCUGUCCUUGUGAAUAAGUUUAGAAUUAAACGUGUGCUGAUUGAUCCAGGUAGCUCGGCUAAUAUCAUCCGAUGGAGAGUCAUCGAACAGCUGGGACUACUAGAUCAGAUCGUGCCGGCUAUACGGGUCCUAAGUGGAUUCAACAUAGCAUGUGAAACGACGAAGGAUGAGAUCACUAUACCGAUCAGUAUGGCAGGAACAACGCAGCAGACGAAAUUUUAUGUGACAGAAGGAGAUAUGGGAUACAAUGCAUUGCUGGGCAGACCGUAGAUUAACCUCGUAAGAGCGGUUCCCUCGACUAUGCAUCAGGUAUUGAAAUUCCCGACUCCAGAAGGUGUCAAAACUGUCCGUGGUGAAUAGCAGGCCGCAAAAGAAAUGUCCGCGGUUGAAGAAACUGUUAAGAAUAUACAGGUGCCAGAUUGGAGUGAAGGGAAGAAUGCCAAAUAGCAAUCACAGAUCCCGAUCCCGGAAUCUUGGGAAGAUCGGAACGACGACACGCUAGACGAAGAGUUAAAAUUCAAAAUACCGAGAACCUUUGUGGUGCCUGAUGAUUCUGACGUCACUAAGUCCACCGUUGAAGAACUCGAGCAAGUCAUACUGUUCAUCCAUCUACCAGAAAAGAAGGUAUACCUGGGCACGGGGUUAGCCUCUGAGCUCAAGAAAGAAUUUAUUGAUUUUCUUAAAAUUAACUCAGAUUGCUUUGCUUGGUCCCGUUUAGACAUGACAGGUAUUCCACCGGAUGUGACAACACACAAGUUGAGCUUGGAUCCAAGUUUUCCCUCGAUCAAACAAAAGCGAAGACCACAACCCGAGGUGAAACAUACAUUCGUCAAGGACGAGGUAACCAAGCUCCUUAAAAUAGGGUCCAUUCGAGAGGUAAAAUACCCAGAUUGGUUAGCUAACGUUGUAGUAGUGCCUAAAAAGGGGAAUAAGUUUAGAAUGUACGUAGAUUAUAAAUAUUUAAACAAAACAUGCCCGAAGGAUUCCUUUCCUUUGCCCAGCAUCGAUCGCAUGAUCGACGCUACCGCGGGUCACGACAUGCUGAGUUUCCUCGAUGCGUAUUCCGGGUACAACCAAAUACAAACGGACUCGGAAGAUCAAGAAAAAACCUCCUUUAUAACUAGGUUUGGCACAUAUUGUUAUAAUGUAAUGCCUUUUGGUUUAAAAAAAUGUCGGUGACACCUAUCAGCGUUUAGUUAACUGAAUGUUUGAACACCAAAUAGGGAGAUCCAUGAAAGUUUAUAUAGAUGACAUGGUCGUUAAGUCCUGCGAGCAAAAGACCAUUUGAAAUUUUUGCAGGAAACUUUCAGCAUAUUGAGAAAGUACAACAUGAAGCUGAACCCGAAAAAAUGUGCCUUCAGGGUCGGAUCGGGAAAGUUUCUCAGAUUCAUGGUAUCAAAUUGGGGAAUCGAAAUCAACCCGGAUAAGAUAAAAGCAAUCGAAGAUAUCACCGUGAUAAAUGACAUUAAAGGGUUACAGAGAUUAACGGGACGGAUAGCUACCCUGAGCCGAUUCAUCUCUAGAUCCUCAGAUAAGAGUCACCGUUUCUUCUCGUUGCUCAAGAAAAAGAUCGACUUUGCAUGGACCCUCGAAUGUCAGAUGGCCUUGGCAGAACUCAAAAGAUACUUGUCAAGUUCGCCUAUACUCCACACACCAAAAGCAAACGAGCAGUUGUAUCUAUACCUGGCGGUGUCCGAGAUAGUGGUGAGCGGUGUCCUGGUUUGAGAGGAGAAAGGUACGCAAUACCCGGUUUACUAUGUAAGUAGAACCCUCUGUGACGUUGAAACUAGGUACCCACAUCUGGAAAAACUCGCUUUGGUUUUGUUAAGUGCAUCUAGAAAAUUAAAACCUUACUUUCAGUGUCAUCCCAUAUGCGUCGUAACGUCGUAACGUCGUACCCCCUAAGGAACGUCAUGCAUAAACCUGAACUCUCAGGCCGACUAGCAAAGUGGGCUGUGGAGAUUAGCGGGUAUGAUAUUGAAUACAAACCCCGAACUGCCAUCAAAUCCCAAAUAUUGCACCGGCCAUGAUGCUCGAGGUUGACAAGGAGAUGCUUCUUUCCUCGGGGACUAGCACGGGAGACUGGACCCUUUAGACGGAUGGUGCAUCUAAUGUGAAAGGUUCCGAGUUAGGGAUCGUUCUUAAACCCCCCUCAGGUGACAUAAUAAGACAAUCUAUUAGGUGUGUUGAUUUAACUAAUAACGAAGCCGAGUAUGAGGCUAUGAUUGCAGAUUUAGAACUGGCUAAAAGCUUGGGAGCCGAGAUCAUCGAGGCCAAAUGCGAUUCUCUCCUGGUAGUCAACCAAACGAACGUAACCUUCGAAAUCAAGGAUGAUUGAAUGCAGAGAUAUCAAGAAAAAUUGCAGGUUAUCCUUCGCCGAUUCAAGAAGUGGACGUUGGAACACGUACCCCGGGAUUAGAAUAAUAAGGCGGAUGCCUUGGCAAAUCUGGGAUCCUCGGUAGAAUCAGAUGGAUUCAAUUCGGGAGCUGUGGUCCAGUUGACAAAAUCCGUCAUAGAGACCGGCCACGCCGAAAUAAACUCGACCAGCCUCACUUGGGAUUGGAGGAACAAAUACAUAGACUAUCUCCAAAUAGGAAAGCUACCAUCCGAUGCCAAGGAAUCAAGGGCCCUCCGAACCAAGGCAGCUAGAUUUUGUUUGGUCAAUGGUCAGCUGUAUUGAAGGCCAUUCCACGGCCCCUUAGCGAGAUGCCUAGGACCAGGAGAUACCGACUAUGUUCUGAGGGAAGUUCACGAGGGCACUUGUGGAAACUAUUCGGGAGUCGAUUCAUUGGUCCGCAAGCUGAUCAGAGCAGGAUACUACUGGAACGAGAUGGAGGAGGACGCCAAAACCUUCGUUCGAAAAUGUAACGAAUGCCAAAGGCACGCCCCGUCAAUACAUCAACCCGGGGAAGAGCUCCAUCCGGUCCUCUCCCCAUGGCCAUUCAUGAAAUGGGGCAUGGAUAUAGUGGGACCUUGGACAUGGGCCCCAGGUAAGACACAAUUUAUUUUACUUAUGACUGAUUAUUUCUCUAAAUGGAUCGAAGCAUAGGCACUCGAGAAAUUCAGGGAAAAAGAGGUCAUUGAUUUCAUUUACGAUCAUAUAAUCUGUCGAUUCGGGGUACCAGCGGAGAUCGUGUGUGACAACGGGAAGCAGUUCAUAGGUAGCAAGGUUAACAAGUUUUUCGAAGAAUACAAAAUCAAGAAAAUCUUAUCAACCCCGUAUCAUCCGAGUGCGAAUGGUCAGGCCGAGUAUACUAACAAAACCAUAUUGCAGACUUUAAAGAAGAGACUGUCCGGUUCUAAGCACCGAUGGAAGGAGGUUCUGCCUGAGGUUUUAUGGGCUUACCGUACAACGGUAAGAUCAAGUACCGAGGAGACCCCAUUUUCCCUUGUAUACGGAGCCGAGGCCCUGAUACCCAUCGAGGUUGGUAAGCCAAGCUUAAGAUUCCGUUAUGCCACUGGGAACUCAAACCAUGAAGCAAUGUCCGACAAUCUGGAUCUCGUAGACGAAAGAAGGGAAGCUGCUCAUAUCCGGAUAGCCGCACAAAAACAGAGGAUACAAAGGUAUUAUAACCGGAGGACCAACCUCAGACAUUUUCCAAUUGGGGACUUGGUACUAAGGAAGGUCACACUUCAUACGAAGAACCCUCAUGAAGGGAAACUAGCCUCGAAUUGGGAAGGACUGUACCGAGUCACUGGAAUAACCGGAAAGGGUUCUUAUCAGCUCGAGAAUGAAGACGGACAACAGCUGAAAAAAUAACUGGAAUGUGGCACACCUAAAAUGAUAUUACUGUUAAAGGUACGAAUAACUUUUCUUUUGCGUUCUUCUCUCUAGAUCUAACCCUGCAGGGAUACAACCCGAGGGACAACGAAACAGCAUAACAGAUACUCGGAAGUCAUGGACUUAGGACUGAAAGCACGUGCUGCACUCUUUUUUCCUUAGACCGUUUUGUCCCGAAGUGGGUUUUCGGCAAGGUUUUUGAUGAGGCAGCGCCGAACAGCGUGCUACACAUGUAGAGAAUAUCGAUCAAAGACCGAAGACCGGGGACUGCACAUACCGGGCUAAUAGUACCCGAGCCCUCAUACUUCGGACUCGAAUACUAGGGGACUAUUAUACCAUGGGUUAAGUGAUAACUAUGUAAAAGCCAAGGCCUGAACGAUAGGAUCAGAUGUAAGGACCAAACGAUUGAUUGAAUCGUGUCCACUUAGUUUGUUCUUGCCAUGGCAACAAUUGCGAAUGCAUCUGUGGCUAGUUUUUUGAAUAAAAAACUUACUUCGAUCAAAAGGAUCCGAUGUUGCCAAAUACUGAAAAACUAUGGCAUAACAGUUAAAGACUACGGUCUAAACUAUGGCGUAAAUAGUUAAAAGACUACGGUCUAAAAAACAUGUGCAAGCUCGAAAGCUGCGACCUAAAACGAUUAAAGACCACGGUCUAAAAAUACAAAAUUGUCAUGAUCGGGUCUAUCUUGCAAAUUAUGAAUAAAGCAACGACUAACGACAACACAGACUAUAACCCAAUCAUGGGCCGUUACCAUUUGAAUUUUAUCCUGGCCGAAACAAUAUGGCAAAUUAUAAUGAAGGCAUAAACCGAACAAAACAUUGAACCGAGGAGUACUUUGCAAAUAUCAAAUACAAGUUUUGAUUCAUACAUACAUAAAGUAGAUUUACAAAGGCUUGGAAUAGUGGCCUCAAAACAAAGGUAUAAAAACAAAAGAAGGGACACAAGGUCCCGAACCUAAUCUUCAUCUGACCCCUCGGCCUCUUUAUCGGUUGAAUCGAGGUCGAUAUCCGAAUCCUCAGGGUCGAACACAGCCUUUGCUUCCGCUUCAAGCUUCUUGGCUUCCUCGAUCAGAUUUGAUAAGUCCGCACCAGUGGCUUGAACUUAUUCGAGGCUCUUCCUUCGGGACAAGCACCGCUCGUACUCAGCUCUAAGAUUACUGGCCUUUUCGGCAGCAGUCACAUCGGCCUUGUACUGCUCUAACAUGUCGUCGUAACUCGAGAUCUGGUCAAGAGCCUUUCCAUGCUCAGUUUGCAGAUUGGUGAUAACCCGAUUCAAUCGAUCCCGUUCCACUUCGGCCGCAACAAGUGAUGAGACAAGGCCAUUCAUUUGUUCCACCGAUGCCCGAAGUUGCUCCCGGAGAACAUCACAUUCGGCCACAGCACCGAUGGUAGUUUCGUGGAGGCCAUCAAACUCGGGCUUGAUCCCAUCAAGCGCUGCCCGGAGUUGACCAAUCUGGCUAACAUAAGCUCGGGCCUGAGAAGCAAGGGCAUUAGCUUUGGCUAUUAAAGAUUUAUUGUAAACUUCGAAAGCCUUUACAUUCUCUGCCAACUGGUUACGUUCCCGUUUGGCCUCGGCAGCUUCGUUUCGAGCCGCUGCUAAAUCCUAUUUAAGGAUAGAAAGAUCAGGGAGAGACGAGAUAUAUUGCAACUUUUUCUCAUAUAGACUCAUGAGCUCGUCCAUCUCCUGACUCUUAUUUUUGAGCUCCUCCUUGAGUCGGCCCACUUCGUGCCUAAGCCGGUCGAAGCUUGCAUGGUGAAGCACAGAGCCCUAUAAGGGGAAAAGGAACGGUUAUUAAAAUGAGGCAUGAAAUUAAAAGCUGAGUAAAAAGAACAUAAGGACGAGACUUACCCGAUUCAAUGCAUGCUGAGCCUCGUUGAAAAAGCACGAUUCGCUGACUUCGGCCAUUUUCUUACGGUCCUCUCGGGACACCAGAGGGUACAAAUAGCUGGGCACCCCAAGAGGACCCGAUAGCAUGUUCAUAUCGGCCGACACCUUAAACGUGAUUAGCCUCUUUUGAUUCGGGUCGAUACUAGGGGAGGAAAUGAUUUCUCCAACCCGGGACCGGAAUUAACCCCGAAACGGUCGGCUACCGGGAUGGGCAAAUGCUAGAAACUCGACAUACUCGGAGAGUGUAUUUCAUAAACCCCAUGACCGGCCGCCCUUUGCUUGGUCACCUUGCCUUUGGCUUUUUCAUCAUCGGCAGGAAUAUCCACCAAUGGCGGCGGAGAAUCCUGUAUGCAAAUUAUCGUUUCAGAUGAGGCCACAACUUGUAUUGGAAAGAUGGAACCAAUACCGUACAAAGGCGGAAUAGUAGGUACCUUAGAGCCUGAUACCGAUGAAGUUGCCUUCGAUCUAGCGGCUGCGACUGGUAGUUUUCCCGUACUUCGAGUAGAAGUGUGAUCGGAGGCCCCAACUUUCUACCCGACGAUCCCUGCGUCCAUCGACCUCGAGAAACCACUCGACCUAGCCGAAAUUCGACUUGAGCUUUCCAUCAAUGGUGUAGUGAUUGCAACAGAAUCGGCCAAAUCAUGCUCAAGGGGCUCGUCAAUAAGACGAUGCCCACCCAACGCCUGGUCAUCGUCGUUAGAAUGGUCCAAUAAUUAGCUAACAACCUCAGCGUCCAAAGCACAGGCUGAGAUAUCUUUUGAUGAGGUUUCUCGAAUAAUGACCUUCGAUCUUUUCCUAGACUAGGAAGGAGCUCGAGCUGAUUCGGAGGAUUUUCUUUCCCUCGUUUCAACUAGGUCUCCAAGACCGGGAGCUUCGACAUCCUGCUCGUCAGUUGAGGUCUCGGCAGUUUCCUGGCCCCGAAUUCUGGUGGCCUUUGACAAACCUGUGAAGUAAAGAGAAGAACAAUCAUUACCUAACUAACGUGGCAUAUUACACAGAGUAGAAAGGACGACGCUCUAAGGGGAAGACUUACCAUGGGUCCCGGCCUCCCAACGGGACCGGGAUAAACACCUCCAGGUACAUUCGGCAUAAGUAAGUUGGGAACAUAUUUUCCCAAUCCACUGGUCGAGUUUAGGAACCGCACCAAGGGUUCGGAUAAGCGCUGUAUACACACGAACAAAUAAAAAGUUCAGUAUCGGUGCAGGCACGCAGCCGAAUCGUAUCGACAUAAAGUUACUUACGUUUUGGGUUCCAUUUCUCGGGAAGCGAAAAUUUGUCAACGGGGAUCAGAUCCACUGUUUUGAUUCGGACAAACCUGCCCUGCCAGCCUCGGUCUCUAUCUUCGUCCAGACCGGAGAAGGGUGCUUUUGCAGCUCGUUUUGAAAGUUUUAUCAUUCCCUCUCUGAAGACACGGGGGCUAUAUAGUUGAAGUAGGUGGUGCACCGUGAACGGAAUGUUCACGUUUGUAGCAAAAUAAUGGAGGAGCACAACGAUCCUCCUAAAUGAUGAGUGAAUUUGGCCUAGGGUGAUCUCGUACCACUUGCAGAAAUCGACCACCACAGAGUCGAGUGUGGUGAAGGUGAAAGGGUAAGUAUAAAGACUUAAGUACCCUUCCACGUAGGUCUGUAUGGCCUCAUCUUGGUCGGGAAUAACGACCUCCUUACCUUUCCACCCACAAUCUUCCUUGACUUGUUCGAGUUUAUUCGGGGGUAUCGUGCACAGAUAGGCUGAUAUUUCGACACCUCGAUCCCCCUGUUGAGAAGGUUUCUAGACUUUGAUGUCCCGAAUGGUCGAACAGUCUUGAGGAAUGAAGUCAGUCAGCAGUGGCUCUGGUUUAGGAGCCGAAGACGUCUCACCGGCCUUAGCCUUUGAAGAUUUGCUCGUCAUUUUGAAAGUAUGAAGAUAAAAAGGUUUAAAAUUAAGGUUUGAAGAUUGAACAGGAAAUUAAGAAGAAGAUAUGGAGGUUUGAAGGUUUGAGGAUAUGAAGAUCAAAGUAUUCAGAGCACACGAAGGUAAAAAUUCCCUUUGGUAAAAGUCAAAAAGUGAAAAAAGAAGGGCGAUUGACCGCCAUUAGCGGGAGACCGAAAUAUCCGCCCUUACCCUGAUAUUUCAGUGUCGAUCUCAGCAAUACAGCUGUCACCAGAUUUACUUGCUUUAUUUAGAAAAGGGUUGAAACUCCUCUACUAUAUAAAGAGGAGGUUAUCAUUCAUGAAGGGGGUUAGCAACAGCAAGGAGAGAAAUAGUUUACAUCAACAAUCAUAAGAAUCUUAUUAAAUCACUUCGCGUCUGUUCUUAAGUUCAUUUUUUAUUAUACCUUCGUGAGAGCUUGUAACAAAAAGGGUAUCGACCUCGGUUUCUAUACCUGAGGCCAUACGUAUUUAACAUUCGGUUAGAUCUGCUUCUCUGUUCAUUUUAUUGACAUAUCUCGCUAUUUAAUCUUGAAUUGAAUUUAGCCACAUAUCUUUGGCAUCAUAUACAAAUUUAAUUGUUCUCCGUUUUAAGGUUAAACAAUAGUCAUGUUGCUAUUAGUAAGAUCCAUCAAGAUGCAAAUACUAAUUGUUUUUCUCUAUUUUUUUCUUCAUGUGCAACCUUGGGAGUGCAUUGGAGUUGUGAUAUAACUCAGAUUUCAGCCCAGUAUCAGAGAACAGCCGACAGCAUAUUUUUUGCUCGCUUAUAUAUAGUGGCCAAAGCUAUUUUACAAGAACUACAAGACUAGCAAGCUUGGACAAUUAAGCGUAGCUAAUAGGACGUGGAACAGGUAUGUAAGGCUUACCCUUUUCUUUCUUUCUUUUGGCAUGAUCUUUGUGAAACGAACAGACAAAGUAUAUGUAUGAUUUCAAAGAAACUCCUAUUCUUAGAGCCACUAGGAUGACUAACGUUCUUGACUUCCGAAGACCGUUUUGCUAUGUCUUGAUACGUAUGUAUGGUUCCGAAAGAUUUAUUUUGAUUUGGGCCAUAGUGAUAUUCAAAAGGUACGUGAUAUGACUAUUGCUUUGAUUUUCCAAAAAUAGCUUCUGAAAUGUUCAAUAAGGUUUCUGUAGUAAAAUGUCCCUAACUUUCGUAUACUAACUCGGAUUGAAUUGAAACGUGUUUAUGAUCCUCAAGUGUCGAUUUAUGUACGUAUCCAUCGAGUCUUAAAAAUAUGUUUUAAAUUGCAUAUAGUUUCUCACUACUCUGCUCGUGCAUGUGUCAUUACCUCUUUCACCGAGACCCGGGCCGGUAUGUAUCGUGCGUAUGGUUCACCGAGUCCCUUGCUUGAGGGCCGGGUUCCAUAUAUAUAAAUUCCGGAGUAUGAUGUGUCCGGUUCCCGGGUACCGUGUAUAUAUGUCCGGUUCCCGGGUACCGUGUAUAUGUUAUGGAGUAUGAUGUGUUCGGUUCCCGGGUACCGUGUAUAUAUGUCCGAUUCCCGGGUACCGUGUAUAUGUUAUGAUGUGUUAUGUGUUACAGAGAUAUGAAAUCUUCUGGAGUAUGAUGUGUUAUGGGGUCAAAGACAGGAGUGGCGACCAUGUUCCUAUGCCCUAUGCAUAAUUUUGAUAUGCAUCAUUUGUGUUUCAAAAGUACAUCCAGAUGAGUAGAAGUCAUUAUAGAAGAUGUGCCAGCAGAGUUGGCAAGCUCCAUUUGCCCCUGGAGUGUUGCCUGGUCAGAGUAUUAUGUUAUGAUGUCUUGUUCGAAGUUGGAGACUUUGCAGACAGAGUCGUGGGUAUAGGAUGUCAUUUUGUGUUUUGUUAUAAAUUAUGAUUACAGAUUUUUUUUGACUUGAGGACGAUGCAAAAGAAUACUUCUGAAAGCUUUAUUGUGUAUUUCAUUCUUAUUUUGACUUAAGAAUCUAAAGAGAUUGUGUAUGUAAUAAGAGUCAGCGGGUUCGCUCGGCUCCGAAUGUGGGGUCGGGUGCCCAUCACACCCUAGUAAGAUUAGGGUGUGACAAUAAACAUACUCCAUGUAUAUUAUUCUCUCAUAAAAAAUAUGAAUUUUCAUACUCUA